GGGUCUAUGAUGUCAAACCUAUGACAUGGAGAGAUAUGGUGACAUAAAAAUCAUGCUCAGUAGAAUGCACUGAGGCCC